GGAAUACGGCAGCCCGCGCGCGCUGCCUUCCCGCCAGUCGUCCCCCUCAGAAGCUCUCCGUGCCGGGGGCGCCUGGGUGAGGAGACUGAAAGAUAAAGAACUUGAAAAAAAUUGUCCAAGAUCAAGCACUUAAUAAAGUGGCAAAGUCAAAAGUCAAACCCAGAUAUUUUGGCUCCAGCCCUGUACAGAUGCCAGAUCUGCAUCGUGACCUGGAGACUUUCUGUGACUACGUCCUGCUCUUUUCUCCUGUGGUUCUUUAACAGCUUCCUGCUCAUCUGGGAAGGCAGCAGAAGAUGGACCAAAUAUUGGGGACCCUGAGACCCACCACAGG